GGGGGUAUAGCUUAGUAGGUAGAGCACUUUUUUUGCAAAAAAAGAAGUCUACGGUUCAAGUCCGUAUAUCUCCA
rnacentral:tRNA from 1 species